UACGAAGGGGGCUAGCGUUGCUCGGAAUGAUUGGGCGUAAAGCGUCCGCAGGUGGCAGUUCAAGUCUGCUGUCAAAGACCGGGGCUUAACUUCGGAAAGGCAGUGGAAACUGAACAGCUAGAGUAUGGUAGGGGCAGAGGGAAUUCCUGGUGUAGCGGUGAAAUGCGUAGAUAUCAGGAAGAACAUCGGUGGCGAAGGCGCUCUGCUGGACCAUAACUGACACUCAGGGACGAGAGCUAGGGGAGCGAAUGGG
rnacentral:rRNA from 1 species